UACGAAGGGGGCUAGCGUUGCUCGGAAUCACUGGGCGUAAAGCGCACGUAGGCGGCUUUUUAAGUCAGGGGUGAAAUCCUGGAGCUCAACUCCAGAACUGCCUUUGAUACUGGGAGCUCGAGUCCGGGAGAGGUGAGUGGAACUCCGAGUGUAGAGGUGAAAUUCGUAGAUAUUCGGAAGAACACCAGUGGCGAAGGCGGCUCACUGGCCCGGUACUGACGCUGAGGUGCGAAAGCGUGGGGAGCAAACAGGG
rnacentral:rRNA from 1 species